GACGAACGCUGGCGGCGUGCUUAAUACAUGCAAGUCGAACGGAAACGCCCUGCUUUUGUGGGCUGCUCGAGUGGCGCACGGGUGCGUAACACGUGAGUAACCUGCCCUUGACUUUGGGAUAACUUCAGGCCACUGGGGCUCAUACUGGAUAGCAGCUCCUGCUGCAUGAUGCGGGUUGGAAAGUUUCGGCGGUGGGGGAUGGGCUCGCGGCGUAUCUGCUUGUUGGUGGGGUAGUGGCUUACCAAGGAGUUGACGGGUAGCCGGACUGAGAGGGGGACCGGGCACAUUGGGACUGUGAUACGGGCGAGACUACUACGGGAGGCAGCAGUGGGGAAGAAUGCACGAUGGGCGGAAGCCGGAUGCAGCAACGCCGUGUGCGGGAUGGCGGACUUCGUGUUGUAAACCGCUUUCGCCUGUGAUGUAGCGUGAGUGACGGUAAUGGGUAAAGAAGCACCGGCUAACUACGUG
rnacentral:rRNA from 1 species